AUACAGAGGGUGCAAGUGUUAUUCGGAAUUACUGGGCGUAAAGCGCGCGUAGGCGGAUGAUUAAGUCAGUUGUGAAAGCCCUGGGCUCAACCUAGGAACUGCAUCUGAUACUGGUCGUCUAGAGUUUAAGAGAGGGAAGUGGAAUUCCAGGUGUAGCAGUGAAAUGCGUAGAUAUCUAGAGGAACAUCAGUGGCGAAGGCGACUUCCUGGCUUAAAACUGACGCUGAGGUGCGAAAGCGUGGGUAGCGAACGGGAUUAGAAACCCCUGUAGUCC
rnacentral:rRNA from 1 species